rnacentral:miRNA from 14 species
UACCCGACUUCCGGAUACCAAAUG